rnacentral:rRNA from 1 species
UACGUAGGGUGCGAGCGUUGUCCGGAAUUACUGGGCGUAAAGAGCUCGUAGGUGGUUUGUCGCGUUGUUCGUGAAAACUCACAGCUCAACUGUGGGCGUGCGGGCGAUACGGGCAGACUGGAGUACUGCAGGGGAGACUGGAAUUCCUGGUGUAGCGGUGGAAUGCGCAGAUAUCAGGAGGAACACCGGUGGCGAAGGCGGGAUCCUGGGCCAGUACUGACGCUGAGGAGCGAAAGCGUGGGGAGCAAACAGG